UGGGGAAUCUUGCGCAAUGGGCGAAAGCCUGACGCAGCGACGCCGCGUGAGUGAUGAAGGCCUUCGGGUUGUAAAGCUCUGUGGAGGGGGACGAAUAAGGGCCGUCGAAUAGACGUCCCGAUGACGGUACCCCUUUAGCAAGCACCGGCUAACUCUGUGCCAGCAGCCGCGGUAAGACAGAGGGUGCAAACGUUGUUCGGAAUUACUGGGCGUAAAGCGCGUGUAGGCGGCUCGGAAAGUCGGGUGUGAAAGCCCUGGGCUCAACCUAGGAAGUGCACUCGAAACUUCCGAGCUGGAGUUCUGGAGAGGAAGGCGGAAUUCUCGGUGUAGAGGUGAAAUUCGUAGAUAUCGAGAGGAACACCGGUGGCGAAGGCGGCCUUCUGGACGGUAACUGACGCUGAGACGCGAAAGCGUGGGGAGC
rnacentral:rRNA from 1 species